AAAAAUACUCAUAAAUAAUAAAAUUUUGGGGUGUUACACAUAUAAUAAGAGGAGCUCCUAUGAGAAUAAAUCCAAUAACUGUACACAGUUUUGAGGUUAAAAAAAUAAAAAAGCCACUAAUCAUUGGUCAGACCUAAACCUAUCUUGCCUAGCCAUGCUUAGUAGAUAGGUCUACACUCACUUGAAUGUAACUAAUCCAGCAUGCAAUGCAGCAGAGCAAAAUGAAUUCACUCGUUUGCCAGAUAUUUUAAACGAUCAUUGCAAAAGAUGAGCACCAAAGUAAAUAGUAUGUUUUACAACAAAAUCUUCCAAUAACUUUCGUAGUAAAUUACAGCUAUUAUGCUAGACCUCUUUUUUCAGUUACAAAAACAUUUGCUAAACAAAAGAAAACAAAGAAUAUAGAAAAAGAGGGAAAUUUUGAAAUAAAGGAAGGGCAAUAAACAUGAUACUUAUUUGGAAGAAAAAUUAGAUCCAUUCUUGUAUCCAAUAACUUCCACUCUUCACUUCCCUGUUCAGGUUUAUGGUCAUAUUCCCAUCGUGCAGUUAGUGGCAGAGAAACAAGAAUACUUUCAAUUCGACCACGUCUUCAGCCCAAAUGUUGUGCCCCGAUCAUAAACCUUUGAUUGAAAAAAUAACCAAAUGGCAUUCAAGGCAUGAUCUUGAAGAAAGUUUUAUGAUUUAAAGAAAAAAUAAAGAUAUUCAGAUUCAGUUAUGAUACAAAGUUAAAUUGUACAUAGCGUCCCCUACGUAACUGUUGCCAUGCUUUAUGGUGAUCAGUGAAUCGCAUAUCCUUUAUUUUUUCUAUAAUGGGAAUGUAAGCAGGUACCACAGAAUUUGCACACUCUGCAAUUUAGCAAAAUGUUUGCACAGGGAGAUCCUUGAACCGCUAGAACUUGAAAAAGAAAAUUAAAUUAAAUUCUUGAUAAAUUAUUACCAGCGGCAAAGGAAAGAAGCAUAUCUUGAUCAUAGUCAUUUAGAUCAUCAAAAAAUAUUCCUCCAAGUCCUCGCCUCUCACCUCGAUGCUUAAUAUAGAAAUAGUCAUCACACCACUUUUUGAACCGGGGAUAAAAGUUGGGUCAAAUUUAUCACAGGCUUUUUUUUGAAUCUUUUAAUCUCAGCGGGCUAAUUGUUUGUUGAGGAUCGCAAUCUGACUAGAUCAGCUGUGCAAAUGCAGUCAAUUCAGGCACAAUUUGUGUCUGUCAAUCAACCUACUCUUGUGGAUAAAGAAGGUUGUCUGUCAAUCAACCAGUCCCAAUUAAAUGGAAUUAAGAUUUCUUACUCAGCAAUAGAAGUCAUUCUUUCACUAAAUGAAGCUGAAUGCUGCAUUGAGUUUAUAAUGAAAUGUGCUUUUGAGUUGAUCAUCCCUAAGCCAUUUUGUACAUCUCAUUGUUCCAAAUUACGAUUACGUGCAAUUGGAAGGGGAAAUUGGAAAACAAAUUCUAUUGGAUGGAAUCGCGGAUGCAGUGCAUGUGGAAGGCAGUAUAUAAUUACAACAGGACUAAGAUAGAACACAAAUAUCCAAAAAGGAAAACAGCAAUGUGAAAGAGACAUACCUUGAGAUGAGAAAGGCCAGAGAGUAACACCUUGAACACAUUUAUGAAAGGCGUAAUCUACCUUUGAUGGCGUCAUCAACAGCUUGAACAAUAAAUUGUUUUGCGACCAUCUUUUCCUGUAACCUCAGUUGUACCUUUGAGCGGCAUGUUUAUGCACCAACUUAAUUUGUACCAUUUUCACAAACACUAGCCUAAGGGAAAGCGCCUGUCCCAAGUUAAUUUAAAGAAGAAGAGAGACAACCAUGGCCUUGCGAUAAAACUUCAGUCACUGAAUACUAACAGAACAUGCUUCUCGCCUUAUCAUAUGAUUUGAACAUUCAAUGCAAAAGCAUGUUCUCCAUGGUCUACUGGAUCUGCCCAGACCAAAGAGAUCCAGGGAAAAUUUGAAGUCGAAAACUCGCCUGCCCAAACCAAAGAGAUCCAUGGCUGUUAGAGAGAGAGAAAGAGAUUGUGUUUUCUUCUCUCUGCUGUGUGGAGUGUUUAUGAACAAUGAAUGAAUCUUCGAACAGAUAAUCAGGAAGGGAGAGUGCGCCCGAUAUGAAUCGUUGAGUACAGCCCAGGCGCGCUAACACUAGGCUCGGUCGUGUGGCAGUGGCAUGGAUUAAAAGCAUUGAAAGGGGAUACCUUCGUCGUCCGAUGUCCGAUUCAAGGUUUUUUUUUUAUUCCAUGUAACUUUUCGAGCUCUACGUGUUGGCAAAC
rnacentral:misc_RNA from 1 species